rnacentral:rRNA from 1 species
GACGAACGCUGGCGGCGUGCUUAAUACAUGCAAGUCGAACGGAAAGGCGCUGCUCUUGCGGGGUGCUUGAUAGGCGAACGGGUGAGUAACACGCGUGUAACCCGCCCUUGACUUUGGGAUAAAUUUAGGAAACAGGGGCUAAUACCCGAUAGGAGCUCUUGAUGCACGGUGGGGGAUGGUAAGUUACGGCGGUUGGGGAUGGAAUCGCGGCUUAUCAGCUUGUUGGUGGAGUAGUUGCUUACCAAGGCUUUGACGGCUAGCCGGCCUGGGAGCGUGACCGGCGACAUUGGGACUGAGAUACGGCCCAGACUCCUACGGGAGGCAGCAGUGGAGAAUAUUGCACAAUGGGCGGAAGCCUGAUGCAGCAACGCCGCGUGCGGGAUGACGGCCUUCGGGUUGUAAACCGCUUUCGCCUGUGACGAAGCGUGAGUGACGGUAAUGGGUAAAGAAGCACCGGCUAACUACGUG